GCCCUGAAAAAAACAUUCAGAUUUAAGGUAUUUAGAAAUACACAGAAAAAAAAAAACAUUUAUAAAUGGUCAGAAUGGCAUAAUGGAAAACUGUAUUGACGCUUAAAAGUUCCUAAAGGGUCAGAGCUACUUUACAACAUAUUUUAGUAGUGUAACAAAGGUUAUCUGGUGUUUGGCACAUGCUGUAACAAACAACACACAAAAAAAGGUUAGUAUUACACACAUAGUAACAGCCAAUUCGUGGUGACUUCCCUUUACUGGAGACAUUAAACCGUUAAUUAUUAUUACUGCACACCAACCAGUGCUGGUGUUUUAAUGAUGUAUCAUGUGAAAUCAGGAACCAUCACUGCGUAUUUCAAAUUCAAACCUAAAAAAAAAUAAAAAAAAUAAUAAUAAUCAUGUCUUGAGAAGGCUUUAGAAGUUCAGCCGAAGCAAAAAGAGGAUUUAAAACCGUGAAAAUGAAUCACAUCAACAAGCUACGUAGUCGAGGCACACACAGAAGGAAAGGGGUUCAAAAAAAGGCAUCAAAAAUACAGCAUGCUUUGAAAAGUGCUGACAAAUAAUAACAUUAGGAUUAUUAAAUAAUUGGAAAAAAAAGUAGUUGUUUAAAAUGUACAAGAAAGCUGAGAUGAAGGGUUAGAACACAUCAGAAAACACCCAAAUUCAUAGAAAUGUAGAAAACCUCAAGGUACGACCCACUCAGCGAAACCCCGGGCCGUUGUUUAGUCUCAACAGACACGAACCCGCAAAGAGGAUCUGGGGCGAAUCGUUCGAAAACCUUCUCCCAACCAAAAAAAAAAAAAAAAAAAAAAAGUGAGUAAGAGAG